rnacentral:rRNA from 1 species
CAGUAGCCGCGGUAAUACGAAGGGUGCAAGCGUUAAUCGGAAUUACUGGGCGUAAGGCGUGCGUAGGCGGUGAGUUAAGUCUGCUGUGAAAUCCCCGGGCUCAACCUGGGAAUGGCAGUGGAUACUGGCUCGCUAGAGUGUGUCAGAGGAUGGUGGAAUUCCCGGUGUAGCGGUGAAAUGCGUAGAGAUCGGGAGGAACAUCAGUGGCGAAGGCAGCCAUCUGGGACAACACUGACGCUGAGGCACGAAAGCGUGGGGAGCAAACAGGAUUAGAUACCCCCGUAGUCCCUGUCUCUUAUAC